GAUAUUUUUGUCGAUAUGAUGAAGAAUCCACAAUAAAUGAAUGAGAAGAUCCAGAAUUUCACCUUCAUGAAAGACAACGUGGUGAAGAUGGAAGGAGGAAAGACAUCUAGAGGAGGGGAAAUAAUUGUAUUAAUGUUUUGCUAUAAUUUUAUUUGAGAGGAGAGAAUUGGUUUGUCUUCUUUCUCCCAUGGCCAAAUUCAAACUCUCCUUGGCGUCGGUGUUUUAUUCUUAUUCCAUGACACAACGAUCAUCAGGAUCUGAAACUAGGAGAAGCAUACAUUUCCUUGCUCUCAGGGUCACACAUCCACCUUUUCUCUGUAAACAGGCCAAGGAAGCUCCAUCUUCCUCUCUUUCUUCUGCAACCUCAUCACCGAUCCCCCCUCUCUCUCCGUCUAUGUCUCCUACGCUCUCUCCCACUCCCAGCUCUCCCAGGCCCUUGCGCAGCCCCAAUUCCUCCAAUCCCUUGUCUCCUUCCAUCCUCACUUCCUUGUAUCCCCUCUCGUUCGUGACCUCUCAUCCUUGGAGAAGAAAGCAAUAGCACGCCAGGUAAUCGAGUUAUCACUGCUCUAUGCUCUGAUGAUUAUGUUCACCGUUAGUUCGUUGCUAGGAUCGCUGACACUAUCUCAUCUGGCUCGCUCACGUCAGGUCUACGUGAGAGAGAGAGUGGUGGAGCUUUGCAUUGGAAAACUAAAGAAUAAUGCAGAGGCAGUGACUUGACUCCGGACAACUUUUGAUUUUUUUUGUGACAAUUGAGUUAAACUUUUUUUUAUUGAACAAAGAGAGAGAGAGAGAGAGUGGGGGACCUUUGCAUUAGAAAAUCAAAGAAUAAUGUAGGGGUAGUCAGGCCUAACUUGACUCCGGACAUCUUUUGAUUUUUUUUGUAUGACUACACCCUCCCCACUCUCUCUCUUUCUCACCACCUGUGAGACGGAGCCCCCCCUCAUCAUACAUCUAUGCUCCAACUCUAUAUAUGUCUAUGUCCAUAGCCUCAACUCUUUCUCUCUCUCACAGCUGUCUUUCUUUCAAUACUCACUCUAUGGCCCCUCCUCUUCAUUUAUCUUGGUAACAUCGGUGUUUCUCUUCAGUACUCCACGCCAUUAUACGGGAUGCUAGGGCUUCUACAACGACAAUAUCUUUCCUCAAAGUUCGUCAUCCUCUCUUUGAUCCCAGAAAAAAAAGGACUUGCUUGUGCACAAAAUAUUUGUUUAUUUUUCUCUUUUAUCUCUAACAGAUGAUGAAGAGGAGAUACUAGCAAAAUGGGCUAUAAGGGACGAGGCCAUGUCAGUCGAGCCAUCUACCUAUGGAUUCUCAAGCACCGCCUUGUUCGGUAGGACGGAUAGAGUGCUCAAUCCCUAGCCUGCUUGGUUUAAAGGAUUUAAGAAAAAAUAUAUUUAGUUAACCUUUGAUUAACUACACUCAAUCGACCUUCGGACUCAAUUUUUUUCUUACGGAUAUAGAUCAUUUGGAAGAAAUGAGAGCUUGGGCCAAAGAUCUACAAUUGUCAAGUAGUAGUUCUAGUGAUAAGGAUUAUACUAUCAGAAAUGAAAUGAAAAAAGAAGAACUUGCAGAUGAUUGUGAAGAGAAAAUUGAAGUUGACAUUACAAAUCCAUUUUUAACCGAGGUGGUAUAACAACUACGGAAAUAAUAUGUCUUCUAUUUUGAACAUCUUUAGCAAACCUGUUUAAGUUUAUAAUAGUUAUAAAAUAUUUUUAGGUGUUCGAUUCACAUCAAUUGUUGAUUGAUUGGGUUAAAGAAACAGGGCGUAAUGUGGGAUACAUCAUCGUUACAAGAAGCUCAUCGAGCUCAUUAUUAUUGUUGCAAUGCAAGGCAGUGGCAAGUACAGAAUGAAGAGAACCUCAACGAAGUCAACAGGCACGAAAAAGCUUGAUUGUCCUUUCAGACUUAAAGGGUUGAAACUACGUGGAGCUGAUGAUUGGAUGGUACAAGUGCUAUGUGGAAUGCACAAUCAUGCCACUGCAUCAUAUAUGGAGGGGCAUUCGUACGUUGGUCGCCUUUCUGACUCUGAAUUUGAGAUGAUGGUAGAUAUGUCUAGCGAUCAUGUCAAGCCACGAGACAUCUUAGCAUCGUUGAAGAAACGAGAUGCGAAACAUGCGUCCACUAUUAAAACAAUAUACAAUGCAAGACAGAAGUUCCGAACUUCUGAAAAAGUCAGUAAAUCCCACAUUCAGUCUCUAAUGUCAUUCAUACAUGAACACAUGUACAUUUUCUAUUAUCGAACCGAUGAUAUAACCAACGAGCUCUAGGAUUUGUUCUUUGCUCAUCCAGACUCGUUAGAAAUACUACGUGCAUUCUCACAUGUUUUAUUAAUGGACGCAACAUACAAGACGAACAGGUUCAGGAUGCCUCUUCUUGAGAUUGUCGGGGUGACUCCAACAAAUUUGACAUAUUGCAUAGCAUUCGUGCUCUUGAAUUCUGAGAAGGAGGACAAUUAUACAUGGGCUUUAAGAUGUUUGCAGUCAACAAUAAAGGAAAGCAUUGCCCCAAGAGUUAUUGUCACCGAUAAAUAGUUGGCGUUGAUGAAAUCAUGUGCCCUGGUAUUUCCUGAUGCAAAGAAACUACUUUGUAGAUGGCACAUAUAUAGGAGUGUUUUGGCGAAUUGCAAAAGAUUAUUUCAAGACAAAGAAUCAUGGGAUGCAUUCUACUCAUCAUGGAAUACGUUGGUGGAGUCUGAAAAUGAGAUUGUCUACGUGUACAAUUUGUCGCACCUAGAGGUAAUCCUACAAAACUAUGCAUUUGUGCUUAAUUACAUUAAAGAUGUAUGGUUGACACCAUAUAAGGAGAUGUUUGUCUCUGCUUGGACAAAUACGUAUUUGCAUUUCGGGAACUUGACCACUAAUAGGGUCGAGAGUCAGCAUGCAAAGUUAAAGAAAUACCUGGGAUCAUCACAGUCAGACGUUGAGUCCAUAGUAUCUUGCAUUCAUCAGCUCGUCCAAGCUCAGGCCACAUCAAUCAAGGCUAGUUUGGAGAAAAGUAGACAUAUCGUCAAGGAUCGGUUCAACACAGAUCAAUUUAGGGAAUUACGUGGUUUUGUUUCGAUUGAUGCGUUGAAUCUAAUUUUCAAUGAAUCUGAGCAAUCUAAAGUUGUCAGAGAAGAUUCGUACGCUUGUGGAUGUAAACUUCGUACAAUCUAUGGACUACCUUGUGCGCAUGAGCUUUUAAUAUACAUAAACGAUAGUCAGCCUAUACCACUUGCGUCAAUCGAUGCAUUCUGGAAGAAACUUGACCUAUCGCCAUGUAUUUCUCUUAGAGAUGAUGACAUCGAUUGUAUUGUUGAGCUACAAAUGUUUGCAGAACAAUUUAAGCGCCAUUCACGACCAGGAAAGUUCAGUCUAUUGCGAAAGAUCAGGAGAUAAUUAAACCCUCAACGACUAUAGUACAAGAUCCGGUUGUUUUGAAAAGUACACGUGGACGCCCCUCUUCGAAGAAAAAAGCAGAAUUACAUACUCUUUGUAAUCCUAUCACACCCGAUUCUGUAGAACACGAUUUUCUUCAAUCAUACCAACAAAGUAGACACAAUAUUUCAAUGGGACGUUGAUCCUCGAAGAAAAAGACAGGUGGAGUAACUCAUACAGAUUCCCAUCAACUAGGGAGACAUAGUUGCUCAUCCCUAUACGUUACUCCACCACUCCCUACACAAAGGAGUUCCAGAUCGAGUAACGUUACGCAUGAACAUAUUUAUGUUCGUCAGUUUCCCCCAAUAUUACAUCCUUACAUUGGGUCUGUACAAGAUGUAAUACCUUAUGGAAAUUGUGGCUUUCGGGCAAUAGCUGUUUGUCUUGUAUUGGCGAACAUGCAUGGGAUACUGUCCGUCGUGACUUGAUAGGUGAGUUGAGCGCAUUCUGGCAUGAAUGUGUUGCAAUGUUUGGUAGUGAAGAGCAUGCAUUGGGUGUUCACAACUCACUGAACUUCUUUGAAUUAGAUAGAGUAGCACCAGUUCAGCACUGGACGACAAUGCCAAACAUGGGUCUCUUGAUUGCUUCGAGGUACAAUGUCAUACUACACGUUCUUAGUUCUGCACAGAGCUUCACAUAUUUACCACGGCGAUCAACUCCUCCACCGCAGUAUCAGCAUGUUGCUAUCGCUAUCGGACACGUUAAUAAUAAUCUCUACGUCCAGGUUUCCUUAGUUGGGGGUUACCCGAUGCCUACCAUUAUGCCUCAGUGGAAUUACUUCAAGUAUGAGUGCGCAGCUGCAUGGGUUUUACCGUAUAUGGAACAACUUGAUGUAUACAUGCAGCAUACUCGUUCUAGGUUUCCUCCUAAAACUAUUGUGAUAGAAGAAGAUUAGUAAUGUAACAAAUGCUAUUAUGCUUAAAUAAAGUAUUUGUUAAUAGACUCUGAUGCGAGUGCUUUAAUACAUGAAAACUAAAGAAUUUUUUUAGCGUCAAAAAAUGGCUUGAAUUAUACCAAAAAAAUAUAAACACUUAAUAGUAUUUGAUUGAUCGAAAAAAUAUAAACACCUAAUAAAAACCAAUGAACCGACAACCUCCGCGUUUUUUUCUGAAUUAAAAUAUUAUAAUAUUAGAUUUCAUAAUUUUUAUAUUAAAUUUUGUUAUUAAAUUUAAUGUGAUAAAUAAAUCACACGAGUUUGUCACACGAGGGAACAAAGUGGCUCGAAAUACGAUGAUUUGUCAACUGCAUGUUUUGUCAAAUUCAUAGAUAUCAGUUAUUGAAAAGAUUAAGAGAGAGAAAAACUAUGUGUAUUUAGGAAAAAAAGAGAAUAAAAAAGUGUAAUGUAGUACAAGUCAAACAUCUAAUCAAUAGUUUUGAAAUCAAUGCAUGUGCACUUAGUAAAACUUGUGUGCACUUAGCAUCACCCUUUGGGUUUGUAUUGAAUUGUCACUCAAACAAUCCCUAUGACAUCAUAAGGGACAAAUAUACCCUCACAUUAAGUCUUGUUACAGGUCUUCAAUUACCAAGGUAACAUAGGAAGUGACAUAGGAAGCUAAAAUGUUCAUGUUUCCAUUUUUAUUAUUUUUAACUCCUCUGCUGACUGUGUUACUUCUUUGAAAUAGUGAAGAGAUCCAGAGUGAGAUCCUUUAUAUUCUGUACAAUGUCUCCGUCCUCCAAUGUGCCCCUAAGGAUAUUGAUGCAGAGGAUGUUCUCAUUGACUUUUGUCCGAAGCUUUUUCAUCAGUCAGUAGAUGCGCUCGUUUCUAAAUCGUGAAAAUUAAAUGCUAUCAAAAGUCCUGAGUUAUAGAGACUCCUUAAUUGCUCUUCAUUAUAGCCAUUGGGGGCGAUAUUGUGGGAUAUGGCAUGGCUAGACUAUAGGUAAUAGUUAUGUACACCAACACUGCAUAGGCAUGCUCUUCUUUCGGAUUGAAUUUAUGGAUAUUUUUCCACUUUCAUGAGCUAACACAAUUUGUAUUUAUUUACUCCAGCAUCGUAGACAAUAUUGGCUCAAAGAAGGAUAUUUGGGAAUACAUGUAAAAAUGAGAACAAUAGCCUGAGUUCUGAUGAAGCAAAAAAUUUUAUGCAGACAAUGGAUGAAAUAGAAGGGGUUCCUCUGUGUGCCUUAUUUGCUGAGGCCAUUAAAGGUGCACUUCUGUUGCCGGACACCAAGUCCAUAUCAGCCCCCUAUAUCUCAUUUUCCAUUGUUUGUCAUGUUAACAAUAUUGCAGAGUUGGGCGAUAGUAGAGGAUAACUAUGUAGCAGCGCUUUUGGUAUGCUUGUUGCUACAACUUGCGAAAGAAGAGGGCAACGGGAACAACAUUAUAUCAGUAGUAAAUCUCAUGGCAGGAAUAAUUAACAUUUUCGCACCUGCUUCGGACAACUUAUGUUUGCAUGAUAUAGGCAAUGCAGUUUAGGUUGUUCCUUACAAUUCAAUCAUUCUUCGUUGUAGGGUUUCAAACCCGUAUCACUUUUAGUAUUAAGCAUACUAGUUUGGUGCACUCUGAAACACUCUCUCGCGAUGAAGCUUGAGUUGUUGUGCAAUCUGAUGCGUCAAGUUUCCAUUAUCAGCAUCCAAUGUGACGAUUUGUGUAGAGUUGUGCAUUUUGGGCCUCCUACAGUCACACUUGUUGCUUCAUAUUUCGUGUUAAAAAUAUUUACCAGACUAACGGAACAAAUAAAUAGGAAACACGAGUAGUUAGAAUGAUCAAUGGACUGCCUAAUUUCUACUGUGGCUCUACUAGAAGGCCUAGUUUUCCAUAUUGACAUCAGAAUGGCUAGGAACUGUGUCGUCUGCCUCUCGGUGAUCAUAGGGUGGGAAAAACUGGGAGCGUAGGAGACGAGAUUCAUUACAAAGAAUAGGUGGUGCGGGUUGAUAGUAAAAGAGAUGGCAAUGUCUUUGGUAGUUCCAUGCUUAGCUUCUAAGUCUUUCAUGAAUCAUCAUAAAUCUGCUAUUAACAUAACUGUUGCAUUGGUAAAGCUUCAGAAGGUUCCAAGGUGGCAGAGGUUGGUGUCUAAAGAUAUAAUUGACAAUCUUUGGGCUAUGUUUUUGCCUUUUGGUAGUUCCAUGCUUGGUUAUCACCAGAAACAUAUUCCAGUGGAAGACCGGUGAGGGAUAGGAGUUUUUCAAGGCGUUACUGUUGGACAUAUGGUUCUACAUGUCGAAUUUUGAUAAUAUUAAAUCAUUUGUAAAUGAUAUUGAAACAUUAAAGCAAUAUUUGAUUUAUGUGAAUUGAAUUUGAAUGAAUAUAUCUCAUUGAUUAUCUUA